rnacentral:rRNA from 1 species
GACGAACGCUGGCGGCGUGCUUAACACAUGCAAGUCGAACGGAAAGGCCCUGCUUUUGUGGGGUGCUCGAGUGGCGAACGGGUGAGUAACACGUGAGUAACCUGCCCUUGACUUUGGGAUAACUUCAGGAAACUGGGGCUAAUACCGGAUAGGAGCUCCUGCUGCAUGGUGGGGGUUGGAAAGUUUCGGCGGUUGGGGAUGGACUCGCGGCUUAUCAGCUUGUUGGUGGGGUAGUGGCUUACCAAGGCUUUGACAAGUAGCCGGCCUGAGAGGGUGACCGGCCACAUUGGGACUGAGAUACGGCCCAGACUCCUACGGGAGGCAGCAGUGGGGAAUAUUGCACAAUGGGCGGAAGCCUGAUGCAGCAACGCCGCGUGCGGGAUGACGGCCUUCGGGUUGUAAACCGCUUUCGCCUGUGACGAAGCGUGAGUGACGGUAAUGGGUAAAGAAGCACCGGCUAACUACGUG